UUUUAAGUGUGUAAUUCAGCGGCAUUAAUUAUAUUCACAAUCCCUGAUAUCACACUAUUUUUCUUACUAGGAAAAAAAAGUUGAUUUUUCACGUGAAGUGCUUUUAAUUCUCUGCAGGGAGGAUGAAAUCUUUAUGUUCUGAUACCACUUGUGAAAGAUGAAGAAUAAAUUAGAAGGGAGACCUGAAAGCAAAUUUAAAGCCCUCACAUCUGCUGACCAGCCCUGUGCCUUGCGACUUAAAAAAAAAAAAAAAAAAAAAAAGAUUAUUUGUAAUUCCUACAUACUACGAAAAUACAUGCUUUUAAAAUGUUUCAUCCUUCUGGGGAAAAUGUGUUUUCAAAAGGAGAAAAAUCCCUCUUUGGGCUACAAGAAAAGUCACCUGUGUGAGCAAGUGUAUCCACACGGUAACCUGGGAUGAGCACUGGGUGUUGUGUGUAAGGGAUGAACCACGGGAAUCUACCCCCAAAACCAAGAGCACGCUGUAUACACUGUAUGUUAGCCUGUUUGACAAGAAAUUAGAUUAAAAAAAAAAAAGAUAAUCUGCUGAUAUAAUAAAGUGGAUUAAUUGUUACUUCUCAGGGGAGAAAAGAACAAUCUGUCACACUGCACAGACAUACACGUUCAGAAGUGAAAUACAAAUGUAGUUGCAUUUUUAUAAAGGUCCUCAAUAUCUUACUCAACCCAAAGAGACAGCUGAACAGUGGGAAUCUGAGUUAAGGUGGCAAACCCCAAGGAGGGAACGAUGGUGAGCGAGGGCCAUGAGGCAUAGUGGAGGCAGCCUUGGACCUGAACUCAGGGACAGCUGGGACUGGGACCCUUUUCUGCGGUUUACCAGCUACUCGGCCCGGGGAAGUCAUUUCCCUUCUGAUGCCUCAAUUUGUUCUCACCCACGAGAAGGAGCGUGUCGAGCGGAAUGCUUUCAGCUGCAAAGAACAGAAAACCCAACUCACAACAGCUGAGACAAUCGAGAGUCUCGCAGGGAGAAGUGGGAGGGAGGAGGGUCAGGGUGGGCUCUCUCAGCUCCAGGCUGUUCUCCAGCCCCCAGGUUCCUUCCGUCUCCCUGCUCUGCCCGUGUCUGCUCAGGAUAACCGCUCCUCCUCCAGGCCUCAAACUCAGACGCAACAGCAGCCAAGGAGCAGAACAGCAGCUCUGUGAAGAGCGAGGAGGAUCGUUCCUCGAAGCCCUUCACCAGACUUGCUCCUGCAUCCCUCUAGAACUGUGCCAGGUGCCUAACUGGCGGCUAGCAAAGGGAGUGCCCCCCACCCUGCCCUGUGCUGCUCCGAGAUCUGGGAAUCGGGGAGCAGCGCCCACCCCCUCUGAGGCCCAGGAAGGAGGAACAAAGCCGAGGCCCAAUAUUCACACGGAAAAGGAGACAGAUGGGGACCCCCGGAAUAACUGAAUGGCAGAGAUGGUGGCCUCACAAGAUGGAGGUGGCCUGGGUCCCUGAAGUACCACACGGAGCCUAGCUGCUCAGGAGAUCACUGAGGCUGCCUGGGACAAGGCCAUGGGACAACUGCUUUGCUGGCAAGGGCGAGUUCCUCUCCAGGCUUAGAGGGUGAAGCAGACAUGGACACGUACGUGGACAGCCAGGGAUAGAGGGCCACUAGCCAUCGCAUCAUAAAAGUCCUUUGCAAAAAAAAAAAAAAAAAAGCCUUUGCUAAAUGCAGAAAACCACCUACAUUCCCUGUCCUAGUCAGCUCAGUCUCUGAUAAACCCCACAGUGCCUGCCUGAUUUGCCAAGAUUUCAAUGUGCUCCCCACGUGGGUGCUAUGGCCACUCCUGCCACAUUUCCACCCAGGAUCCUAAAGACCUGGCCACAGACUUGACUCCUUUUGUUGCACAACAGUUGGGCAUUUUCAAAUCAAAUAGAGUCAAUCCAUUCACUUAACACUCAGCAAAUAUUUGCCCAGUGCUACUGUUUGCUUAAGGGACUUAACUAAAAGGAAAAGGGAAAGCGGGCAGGGUGAGAAAAUGACUAGGUUAUAUUAGGAUAAGAGUGGUUUUUCCUGUCGGGUUUUCACUUGGUAUACCCAAGUGAGAUAGGGAUUUGGAAUUUGGAUUUCAAACUUGAAAGGAAUUGUCGUUGCUGGCUGAAUGAGAAGUGGCAUUCUGAGCAGCAUGUUAAACGCUCAUGGAACAAGACGAUCCAUAUUCAACCUGAAGAUUUUCCUUAGAUGCAUCUAGAAUUCUUACUCGACCAGGGACGUGUUCGUAGUCAUGGUGGGUAGGAUGAUGAUGAUGAGCACCUUCUCUGUGCCAGGCACUCUGCUAAAUGCUUUCUGCAUGUUCUCUCCACACCUAACCACCUAAUCCUACAAACCAGGUAUUGUACACUUGAGGAGGUCAGGAUUCAGAGAGGCUGAUGCACUUGUCCAAGGCCACGUAGGGGCAUGUAGGGGCAGAGCCAGGAUAUGAAUUGAGGUCUUCUUGUCUCCAAAAAUUACGACCAUUCACCCUCAUGCCAUGCCCCACCACUUCAGAAUGGGAGGGGACUUUCAGGUAAAUUAACAAAAGUGUGUGCUAAGUCAGGGGUCCUCAAACUUUCGCAUGCACCAGAGUCACUGGGAGGGCUUAUUACAAUCAGGUAGUUGGGGGGGGAGGGGGGCGCCUGGGUGGCUCAGUCGGUUAAGUGUCUGACUUCGGCCCAGGUCCUGAUCUCACCAUUUGGUGUGUGAGUUCAAGCCCCCACACCAGGCUCCCUGCUCUCAGCCCAAAGCCUGCCUUGGAGGCUCUGUUCCUGUAGCUCUCUGUCCCUCCCCCGCUCUCAUUCUGUGUCUCCCAAAUAAAUUAACAUUAUAUAUGUAGAUAUAUAGUACAGAUAGUUGGGGGCCACCCCCAGAGCUUCCGAUUCAGUAGGUCUGGUGUGGGGCCUGACAAACCCAGGUGCUCCUGGUGCUGCUCCUCAGAACCACCGCUCUAAGAGACAGACUCCAUUAACUUUCCCACCUCCAGGUCAGUUUGGCCCCUCCAAAGUCUACCCGCUUUACCCGCCUGAAGAGAAGAGGGAGGGCAAGUGCUGCCCCAGAUCUUCCCCCUCUGUUUUCAUGGGAGCCCGUGUUAGAGACCACAGGCUCCGUGCCGACAGAGCGGGGCCGCCCUCCCCCUGCACCCCCGGCGUCAAUCCCAGGCCCCCCUGGACUUUCGCUCACUUGCUGCUGCUCGGUGGACCGAAUCCGCUUUCACCUACUCGGUCGAGUAUGGUUUGAGAACUCUGCCUGCCUGCAAUACCCUCUUUCUUCCCAUCCACGGGACUUUAGACUGGGAGUAAGAGAUCUGAUUCAGGUGACAUGGGCCAUAGGUUAUCUGCCACCUGAGAUCCUUGUUCCUCUGGAAAGAUAAACUUUCUGGCAGCUGGGUGACCUUCCCGACUUACAGGUUUAUAUGGGAAUAUGUGUUUCAAAGGCUCAUGAACUUUUAGACUUGGAAGAGAUCUUAGCCGAAGAGGAAAGGAAGGAAACUCAUACUUAGAAUAUGCCACGUAUCAGGCACAAGGCCAGAGGCUUAGUAUGUGUCAUCGUAUUUACUCUUCAGAGCGACUCUAUGCGUUAGGGUGUGUGUGUCUUUUGAUCCCAUGUACAGAUGAGAAAACUCAGAUUAUAAGAAGUUCGGCAACCGGCCACUCUGACACAGCUAGUAAAGAACUCCUCCACGAUCUGCCCCCAGGUCUGCCCCUGCUCUCUCCACUAAUGCUGGCCCGUCAGUUCACAACACUGAUAUCCUCUCCACUUUCAGCAUAAAGUUAUUGAGCUUUGGGCCACCCACGAGGUCCAAAGCCUGCCUUAAUAAGACAAAACCUGAGUCAGUCACGUAGUAGUCAGUGCUAGGGAAGCAAUAACAGGUCCAGUUUGAGAUGCAGCCGUGGUGGGCAGGAAAGAGGCCAUGGUCAAGUGCUGGGGGAGCAAGUGGGAGGUCCUAGGAUUCUAGAAGAGUGGGUUGCAAGAGCUGCUCGGGGCAGGCAAAGAUAAACAGGGUCACACGGGUCUCAGGGGAAGAUGUGACAGCCAGUCUGGGGCCUUAAGUUAGAACUAACUGCUGUGCUCCUCCAAAGAGUCAGGUGCCAGCCUUCCUGGCCAGGCUGUGGGCCUUUGUGAAGGCAGCUCCCAUGCCCAGAGGCAUGUCUGUCAAGUGCCUACCUUUGUGCCCCAGCAUUGUGCAAAAUGAUGAGGCUACACCUUGAAAGAAAAAAAAAAGUCCUCAAAGAGUACCUGUUUAGGAGCAGGUACAAGCAACUAACUAAACCCAGGCAGAUAAAUUAAUUUGAAUAUAGUGCCUUAUAGUUUGGAAAGCCUGUUCACAUACACACACGGUGUCCAGUGACCCUCACGAGGACCCUACCGCAGGGGCGAAGAGGAAGGUUGCUGUGCUAGGCAUUCUGUCCUUCCACACCUGAUGUCUCAUGGACCCUUGGCACACCCCAGGGGACUCACAGUGGAGGGGUGGGUGAGGCUUCCUGGAAGUGUAGCAGUUGAGUUGGGCUUGGAAGGACAGGUUAGGAGUUCUACGUGCAGAAAAGAGGAAAAGGGGGUUCCUGCAGGUGGAGGGAAUGCUGCCAUUUGUUUCACUGUGACUUCGGGGUUGUAGGCACUGUAGCCUUAGCUGAGGGGAGGGAGGCUUGGGACAGCCUCUGGGCCUCUUCCCUUCCCAGUUGAAAGGCUGUAGCUUUUUUAUAUCUGCCCUCUUGUGACAGCUCCCGCCAGAAGAGCCAGUAUGUCUCAAAUGCUGGCAAAUAGGCAUCUCAGGGGCUGGAGACAUGUGCUUUCAGCUGACAAGGGCUGGCUUGGGGAUAAAAGUUAAGAUCUAUUAUUUUCUCUCUCUGCCAUCCAUUUUUCCUCAAUGACUGUUUUCCUAGAGUCCAUCAUGUAGUGAUCGUGACAGACCAGGAACAAAUGAGGGAGGAGCCAUCAACCAUGGGUGUCAUCUGUCCUUGUUGAGUCACUGAAAGAAAAUGUUAGCCCAGGGAUGCCUGGAUGGCUCAGUCGGUGAAGCACCUGACUUCGGCUCAGAUCAUGAUCUCACAGCUUGUGAGUUCGAGCCCCGUGUUGGGCUCUGUACUG